GAUGAACGCUAGCUACAGGCUUAACACAUGCAAGUCGAGGGGCAGCAUUUCAGUUUGCUUGCAAACUGGAGAUGGCGACCGGCGCACGGGUGAGUAACACGUAUCCAACCUGCCGAUAACUCGGGGAUAGCCUUUCGAAAGAAAGAUUAAUACCCGAUGGCAUAAUUAGACCGCAUGGUCUUAUUAUUAAAGAAUUUCGGUUAUCGAUGGGGAUGCGUUCCAUUAGGCAGUUGGUGAGGUAACGGCUCACCAAACCUUCGAUGGAUAGGGGUUCUGAGAGGAAGGUCCCCCACAUUGGAACUGAGACACGGUCCAAACUCCUACGGGAGGCAGCAGUGAGGAAUAUUGGUCAAUGGGCGCAGGCCUGAACCAGCCAAGUAGCGUGAAGGAUGACUGCCCUAUGGGUUGUAAACUUCUUUUAUAUGGGAAUAAAGUUUUCCACGUGUGGAAUUUUGUAUGUACCAUAUGAAUAAGGAUCGGCUAACUCCGUGCCAGCAGCCGCGGUAAUACGGAGGAUCCGAGCGUUAUCCGGAUUUAUUGGGUUUAAAGGGAGCGUAGGUGGACAGUUAAGUCAGUUGUGAAAGUUUGCGGCUCAACCGUAAAAUUGCAGUUGAUACUGGCUGUCUUGAGUACAGUAGAGGUGGGCGGAAUUCGUGGUGUAGCGGUGAAAUGCUUAGAUAUCACGAAGAACUCCGAUUGCGAAGGCAGCUCACUGGACUGCAACUGACACUGAUGCUCGAAAGUGUGGGUAUCAAACAGGAUUAGAUACCCUGGUAGUCCACACAGUAAACGAUGAAUACUCGCUGUUUGCGAUAUACAGUAAGCGGCCAAGCGAAAGCAUUAAGUAUUCCACCUGGGGAGUACGCCGGCAACGGUGAAACUCAAAGGAAUUGACGGGGGCCCGCACAAGCGGAGGAACAUGUGGUUUAAUUCGAUGAUACGCGAGGAACCUUACCCGGGCUUAAAUUGCAUUUGAAUAUAUUGGAAACAGUAUAGCCGUAAGGCAAAUGUGAAGGUGCUGCAUGGUUGUCGUCAGCUCGUGCCGUGAGGUGUCGGCUUAAGUGCCAUAACGAGCGCAACCCUUAUCUUUAGUUAUUAACAGGUCAUGCUGAGGACUCUAGAGAGACUGCCGUCGUAAGAUGUGAGGAAGGUGGGGAUGACGUCAAAUCAGCACGGCCCUUACGUCCGGGGCUACACACGUGUUACAAUGGGGGGUACAGAAGGCAGCUACCUGGUGACAGGAUGCUAAUCCCAAAAGCCUCUCUCAGUUCGGAUCGAAGUCUGCAACCCGACUUCGUGAAGCUGGAUUCGCUAGUAAUCGCGCAUCAGCCAUGGCGCGGUGAAUACGUUCCCGGGCCU
rnacentral:rRNA from 1 species